rnacentral:lncRNA from 1 species
CCUACUCUUACAUGUGGUUACUAUAUCUGAUGAGACUCCAACAGGCCAUCUGCCCAGGGGUGGCACUGCUAACAAUGGGCUGGGCACACCCAUAUCAAUAAUUAGUGAUGAGAAAUCCCCAUAGGGUUGCCUAUAGUCAAUUCCUCAACUGAAAUUUCUUCUUCCCAGAUGACGCUAGUUCAUGCUAAGUUGACAAAACUCUACCUUGGUGAAUGUUGGUCUGUGCUCCCAUUGUUUUGUGUAGUGAUGGAAGAGGCUGCCGUCUGAAACACCUUAGGGACUGUCCUUCAGAAGGGGUGAUCGUCUCAUCAGGCUGUCCAGAAAGCAAAGUCCAUAUCCUAGGAGAAAAUAAAAAUCCCCAAGGAUCACAAGGUAUCAGAGCUAGAGGUGGUCUGCUGGAAACCUCCUUACGGAUGGAGUGAUGAGACUGGGUACAAGAAAGACUGACCUUGGAGUGUAGGGCUGGGGCUGCCCUCAAGAAGUGGCCGUCUGAAGACAAAGCACAUUUCCUCCUCCUCUGACAGGAUCAGAAGGGCACUCAGGUCACCCCAAAUGUCCUAGAACUUUACAUACUUCUAGCCUAUCUUCCCAGGCUGUAUGACUUUAAUAACCGUCUACAUACAGAAGAAAAGAAAAAGGGUCAUGUUAAGAACCAAUUAUGGAAGUGACAUUCUUGAUUCUUGGAAGUUCAAGAUUGAGGGGUCUGCGUCUAGAGAGAGGACCUUCGCCCAGGAUUAUCCCAUGCAGAAGGGCGGAAGGGCACAGGGCCUUGCCUUUCCCUCAGCAACAAUCCAGUCACUUCAUCUAGCCUUGGAUGCACAGCAUAAGCAUUGGGGGCUGCAGUUUCACUCUGCCCAGGAAGGGUCUUUUGAAAAUGCCAAGGGACACUCAUGGGUGAUGACAAUGUGCUAUUCUCAGUGGGAAGAUGACAGUUCAACAAUGGGGUAGAUCUUGUCCUGAAUAAACAUUUUCAUUGGUUCCUCUUUGUGGAGUUC